GGGCGCUAGCCUAACCAGCCAAGUAGCGUGAAGGAUGAAGGCUCUAUGGGUCGUAAACUUCUUUUAUAUAAGAAUAAAGUGCAGUAUGUAUACUGUUUUGUAUGUAUUAUAUGAAUAAGGAUCGGCUAACUCCGUGCCAGCAGCCGCGGUAAUACGGAGGAUCCGAGCGUUAUCCGGAUUUAUUGGGUUUAAAGGGAGCGUAGGUGGACAGUUAAGUCAGUUGUGAAAGUUUGCGGCUCAACCGUAAAAUUGCAGUUGAUACUGGCUGUCUUGAGUACAGUAGAGGUGGGCGGAAUUCGUGGUGUAGCGGUGAAAUGCUUAGAUAUCACGAAGAACUCC
rnacentral:rRNA from 1 species